rnacentral:rRNA from 1 species
UGGGUGACCUGCCUUGCAGUGAGGAAUACCGGCGAGAAAUCGCCGACAAUACCGCAUAGGCUCCCUUGCUCGCAAGAGGAGGGGAGCAAAGCUCCGCAAGGGGCGCUGGAAGAGGGGCCCGUGGCCGAUUAGCUAGUUGGUGGGGUAAGGGCCUACCAAGGCGACGAUCGGUUGCUGGUCUGAGAGGACGAUCAGCCACACUGGGAUUGAGAACGGCCCAG